GAGGGGGGUCGGACUCACGCCCACAACGCCUGCGUCCGAUUGUCAUUUUCAAAGUCGCGAAUCGUAAACAUGUCUGUACGUGCGUGCGUGUUCAUCAGUCGCGUCGAGGUUAUUAUUCGAUCAAGGCCCGCGGCGUAGUCUCGAUCUGUGUGCAAACGCGUCAAGACGUGUUUCGUUCGGUAUAGAAUUUUGUGAAAAUUGACGAUGUAAUAUAUCAUCCGUGUGGUAGUGGGUUAAUAUACGAGUAAAAAGAAGAGGAAUAAAAGCAUAUAUUUUGAGUAAUGGUCGUAUAACCCCUGAUCAAAAGAGCUUGAACCAAUAUUGUCUGAACUAGUCAUCAAGGUCGUCGUCGUCUUCGGACGUGGAUACUCUCAUUUUUUACAGAGAGUCAUCCGUUCCGAAUUGCGCAUCAGACGCAUAGCGUAUUAUUUGUGUUUCGUCCGGUAUAGAAUUUUGUAAAAAUUGACGACCUAAUUUAUAUCAUCCGUGUGGUAGUGGGUUAAUAUAUACGAGUAAAAAGAAGAGGAAUAAACGCAUAUAUUUUGAGUAAUGGUCGUACAGCCCCUGAUCAAGGGAGUUUGAACCAAAUAUUGUCUGGACUAGUCAUCAAAGUCGUCGUCGUCUUCGGACGUGGAUACUCCUAUUUAAUUUUGCUACCUAGUUGUGUCAUCCCUGACAACAUAAGUGGGAACAGGAACCUGCAUGGUGCUACGUUAUAGAUUAGCUAAUAUACUAACUAGCUAAUAAUAAUAAUCAAAACAGCGAAAUUGUUGACGUGUUCGGACGUGGUUACUCAUGAAUUCUUCCUAACCAUGCCUCCAAAGAAGAUUCUUAAAACGAGCUACAUAAAGCAUCAGGCAGCAUCUGCUGCUCGAGAUCAACUCCAAGAAAUUCUUAAUGCUUCACAAGAGGAAGCUAUCAAUAAUGAAAUCCAUAUUGAAAAUCCUCGAGCACAUAUUCAACUUGGAACUGAGCUUCCUGAUGAUAGGGAUGUACCUGCCGAUCUGCCCGCUCCCUUGUCCCCUGUUCACGUCAAUCCUGACUUCCUGUUUGAGGAUUUGCGGCCCGAUUUGCCACAUGUUCCUAUUCAGCAUGUUGAUAUUGAGCAAAAUUUAGUUGAAGAUAUUCUCAGAAGAUUUGUUUUCAAUGACAUCCAUCAUAACGAUGAAUUUUUAUGUGAUGAUAUUGAACAUCAUGAACAAGAUGAUGACGAUGAUUUAUUAACAAGAUCUCUGCAACUGUGGAGUAAUAGAUACAGUAUUACCAGUGUGGCUGUUAAUGCAUUGC